rnacentral:rRNA from 1 species
CUUGGUCAUUUAGAGGAAGUAAAAGUCGUAACAAGGUUUCCGUAGGUGAACCUGCGGAAGGAUCAUUAUUGAAAUAAACCUGAUGAGUUGCUGCUGGUUCUCUAGGGAGCAUGUGCACACUUGUCGUCUUUAUAUUUCCACCUUGUGCACCUUUUGUAGACCUGGAUAUCUCUCUGAAUGCACACAAGCAUUUGGGUUUGAGGGGUUGACUUUUUGGUCUCCCUUUAUAUUUCCAGGCCUAUGUUUCUUUCAUAUACCCCACUUGUGUUAUAGAAUGUAAUAAAUGGGCCUUUGUGCCUGUAAAGCUAUACAACUUUCAGCAACGGAUCUCUUGGCUCUCGCAUCGAUGAAGAACGCAGCGAAAUGCGAUAAGUAAUGUGAAUUGCAGAAUUCAGUGAAUCAUCGAAUCUUUGAACGCACCUUGCGCUCCUUGGUAUUCCGAGGAGCAUGCCUGUUUGAGUGUCAUUAAUAUAUCAACCUCCUCAACUUGUGUUGAGUGUUGGAUGUGGGGGUUCUUUCUUUGCUGGCUUCACGGUCAGCUCCCCUGAAAUGCAUUAGCGGAACAACCUGUUCACUGUUCAUUGGCGUGAUAACUAUCUACGCUGCUUGUUGACAGUGAAGCAAGUUCAGCUUCUAACAGUCCAUUAAAUUGGACAAAUUUUUAUUAAUGUGACCUCAAAUCAGGUAGGACUACCCGCUGAACUUAAGCAUAUCAAUAAGCGGAGGAAAAGAAACUAACAAGGAUUCCCCUAGUAACUGCGAGUGAAGCGCGACAAGCUCAAAUUUAAAAUCUGUCAGCCUUUGGCUGUCCGAGUUGUAAUCUAGAGAAGUGUAAUCCGCGCUGGACCGUGUGCAAGUCUCCUGGAAUGGAGCGUCAUAGAGGGUGAGAAUCCCGUCUUUGACACGGACUGCCAGGGCUUUGUGAUGCGCUCUCAAAGAGUCGAGUUGUUUGGGGAUGCAGCUCAAAAUGGGUGGUAAAUUCCAUCUAAAGCUAAAUAUUGGCGAGAGACCGAUAGCGAACAAGUACCGUGAGGGAAAGAUGAAAAGAACUUUGGAAAGAGAGUUAAACAGUACGUGAAAUUGCUGAAAGGGAAACGCUUGAAGUCAGUCGCGUUAUCCAGGGAUCAACCUUGCUUUUGCUUGGUGUACUUUCUGGUUAAUGGGUCAGCAUCAAUUUUGACUAUUGGAAAAAGAUCAGGGGAAUGUGGCAUCUUCGGAUGUGUUAUAGCCUUUGGUUGCAUACAAUGGUUUGGGAUUGAGGAACUCAGCACGCCGCAAGGCCGGGUUUUUUUUAACCACGUACGUGCUCAGGAUGCUGGCAUAAUGGCUUUAAUCGACCCGUCUUGAAACACGGACC